ACCAGACUCCUACGGGAGGCAGCAGUGGGGGAUAUUGCACAAUGGGGGGAACCCUGAUGCAGCGACGCCGCGUGGGCGAAGAAGCGCCUCGGCGCGUAAAGCCCUGUCAGCAGGGAAGAAAAUGACGGUACCUGAAGAAGAAGCCCCGGCUAACUACGUGCCAGCAGCCGCGGUAAUACGUAGGGGGCAAGCGUUAUCCGGAUUUACUGGGUGUAAAGGGGGCGCAGACGGCGAUGCAAGCCAGGAGUGAAAGCCCGGGGCCCAACCCCGGGACUGCUCUUGGAACUGCGUGGCUGGAGUGCAGGAGGGGCAGGCGGAAUUCCUGGUGUAGCGGUGAAAUGCGUAGAUAUCAGGAGGAACACCGGUGGCGAAGGCGGCCUGCUGGACUGCAACUGACGUUGAGGCCCGAAAGCGUGGGGAGCAAACAGGAUUAGAUACCCCUGUAUC
rnacentral:rRNA from 1 species